GGAGGGUGCGAGCGUUGUUCGGAAUUACUGGGCGUAAAGCGCGUGCAGGUGGCUUGAUAAGUUCCGUGUGAAAUCCCUCAGCUUAACUGAGGAACUGCGCGGAAAACUAUCAGACUUGAGUACGGGAGAAGAGGGCGGAAUUCCUAGUGUAGAGGUGAAAUUCGUAGAUAUUAGGAGGAACACCGGUGGCGAAGGCGGCUCUCUAGACCGAUACUGACACUCAUACGCGAGAGCGUGGGUAGCAAACAGGAUUAGAUACCCUGGUAGUCCACGCCGUAAACGAUGGAUGCUAGGUGUUGCGGGAGUUGACCCCCCCCCCCGCAGUGCCGAAGCUAACGCAUUAAGCAUCCCCGCCUGGGAGUACGGUCGCAAGACUA
rnacentral:rRNA from 1 species